rnacentral:rRNA from 1 species
ACGGCCAUACCAUGCUUAAUAUACCGGUUCUCACCGAAGUCAAACAUCAUCGGGCGAGGUCAGUACUUGCGAGGGUGACCACCUGGGGAACACCGCGUGCCGUU